AAAAUUACUUCUCACACAAACAUCAAGUACAGAUUUGAGGGCAUUCCAAUCUUUCUGUUCUCGAUGUUUUACCAAACUGCUGUAAACAGCUUGUACGAGCGUGUAGUCAUAAUAAUCGUAAACAGGGUCCAAUUUCCACUCGUCAUUACCAAAAUAUUUGUCCAAAGCUCUGGCUCUUUCCUUCCAUUCUUCAUAAGUUUUUGCUUCUUGCAAGAGUUUACGAAGUCUGCGAGCUUCGCCUCUCCAAACAAUAAAGUACUCAUAACAGUUAAUAUACAAACGGUCCAAAAGAUAAAGAAAGCUGCAAGUUGAUGAUGUUAGCAAAUACAAAUGGAUAAAUAAAGUAAAGGGUAACAGAUAAACAUACGCGACAAAGGUUAGACAUAGGAAAGCAGUAAACAUCAAGGGCCAACGUAGAAUGGGAUACAUAAAGCCCUCUCGUUUUUCAUCUUUACCCGGUUUUGACUUGCGAGGGACUACGGCCUCAUAGACUGGAUUCCAAUCAUGUUGAGCAGUGAUGUAC